rnacentral:pre_miRNA from 1 species
UGGACGGCCGGGUGGCAGACUAUCGUGGGUAUGUGCAUAUAUAUUCAUACCCGUAAGUCUCCAUCGAGCUCCGGCUGUC